rnacentral:lncRNA from 1 species
AUGCUGCAUCACACUGACUUGGGGGCGGGAGGAGCCCAGGCCACACCAGUCACCAUCACUACCCAGUCCAGGAGAGAAACGGCCCCUGCCCCCUCCCCCCAACUUCCCAGGCCAGGGCAGCCUUACAGCCCGGCCCCAGUAGCAAAGGGUACUCUUCGAGGUUAUGGUCCCAGCCCCUCAGGGCAACCUGUACUUCACUCUCUAACAAAAGGCGGCCUCUUCCUCGGUCCCGGGGGCUUCCCCACCCAGGGCAAAUCGGGGAGGGGGGGGGCACGCCACACCCCAGGACCGAGAAACACCCACUGCUUCCGGGACAUGGGGGAGGGGCGAGGAGAGACGCGGGCCCGGCAGCGGCUGGUCAAAGGGCGCGAGGGUCAAGGGUCAGGGGGCGGAGGCACGGGACCCCAGGCCCCUCCCCUCCCCCUCACUCACCCCGCCCGGGGGGCUGCGCCGGGGCCCCGGGGCCUCUCAGGGCCGCGUCCUCCGGCGGCGGCGACGGCGGCGGCUGCUGCUGCUGCUGCUACUCCUCCGGGAACCCAUGUCCGUCCGUCCGUCCGCCCGCGCCUCACCUCCCAGAGCCGGGGGUCGAGCCACCCCCUCCCCCCCGCCGCCGCCUCAGCGGGCGGCCAUGGCCCCUUCCUUCCCCUCCCUCCUGGCCUCGCUGCCUCGUCACCGCCUCCUGCUCACCUCACCCCGCCCCUCCCCCUCCAACUACCCCCCCGCUCCGGGACGAUCCAGCCCGCCUCUCCCGGGCGGGGGGCAAGGCGCGAGGAGCCCAGAGCGCGCGCGCGCGAGGCAAGCCGGGCGCGCGCGCCACCCCGCCCCACGCUCGGCCUCCCCACUGCGGCCUCGACCCUCGGGCCCCUCCCCUCUCCCGCUGUCCCCUCCCUCACUUCCUGCCCGCCUGUUCUCCCUUCCGCGCGCGCAGCAGCUGCUCGAGCUAGCGGGGUCCCGGCGCGUGCAUCUGCUCCGCGGGCCGCCGCUCAGCAGCAUUGGCUAUUGGGGGCGGGGAUGGGGCGGGAGAAGCCGUGGAAGCGGAGAGGAGGGGCGCCACGCCGCGGCGAACGUCCCGACGGCCGCACCUCCCCAGAGAGCGUGGGGAGGGGGCGGGGCCUCGAUUGUCUUCUCUCCGCCAAUGGGAAGCACACGUCCCUGCCGUUUGGCCAAUAG